UACGUAGGGUGCGAGCGUUGUCCGGAAUUAUUGGGCGUAAAGGGCUCGUAGGCGGUUUGUCGCGUCGGGAGUGAAAACCCAGGGCUUAACCCUGGGCUGGCUUUCGAUACGGGCAGACUAGAGGUAUGCAGGGGAGAACGGAAUUCCUGGUGUAGCGGUGAAAUGCGCAGAUAUCAGGAGGAACACCGGUGGCGAAGGCGGUUCUCUGGGCAUUACCUGACGCUGAGGAGCGAAAGCAUGGGGAGCGAACAGG
rnacentral:rRNA from 1 species